AUUGAACGCUGGCGGCAGGCCUAACACAUGCAAGUCGAACGAGUGGCGGACGGGUGAGUAAUGUCUGGGACACUGCCUGAUGGAGGGGGAUAACUACUGGAAACGGUAGCUAAUACCGCAUACCAUCGGAUGUGCCCAGAUGGGAUUAGCUAGUAGGUGGGGUAACGGCUCAGCUAGGCGACGAUCCCUAGCUGGUCUGUGAGGAUGACAAGCACACCUGCAAAUGAGACACGGUCCAGACCCCUACGUGAGGCAGCAGUGGGGAAAAGUGCACAAUGGGCGGAAGCCUGAUGCAGCCCUGCCGAGUGGAUGAAGAAGGCCUUCGGGUUGUAAAGGACUUUUAGCGGGGAGGCGUUACCCGAAGAAGAAGCACCGGCUAACUCCGUGCCAGCAGCCGCGGUAAUAC
rnacentral:rRNA from 1 species